GCCAGACUCCUACGGGAGGCAGCAGUGAGGAAUAUUGGUCAAUGGGCUUACGCCUGAACCAGCCAAGUCGCGUGAGGGAAGACUGCCCUAUGGGUUGUAAACCUCUUUUGUCAGGGAGCAACGCCGGCUACGUGUAGCCGGACUGAGAGUACCUGAAGAAAAAGCAUCGGCUAACUCCGUGCCAGCAGCCGCGGUAAUACGGAGGAUGCGAGCGUUAUCCGGAUUUAUUGGGUUUAAAGGGUGCGUAGGCGGAGUGUCAAGUCAGCGGUAAAAUUUCGGGGCUCAACCCCGUCGUGCCGUUGAAACUGACGCCCUUGAGUGAGUGAGAAGUAAGCGGAAUGCGUGGUGUAGCGGUGAAAUGCAUAGAUAUUCGGAGGAACACCGGUGGCGAAGGCGGCCAACUGGGCUUUAACUGACGCUGAGGCUCGAAAGUGUGGGGAGCAAACAGGAUUAGAUACCCGCGUAC
rnacentral:rRNA from 1 species